rnacentral:rRNA from 1 species
UACGUAGGUGGCAAGCGUUGUCCGGAAUUACUGGGCGUAAAGCGUGCGCAGGCGGUGAUGUAAGACAGAUGUGAAAUCCCCGGGCUCAACCUGGGAACUGCAUUUGUGACUGCAUCGCUGGAGUACGGCAGAGGGGGAUGGAAUUCCGCGUGCAGCAGUGAAAUGCGUAGAUAUGCGGAGGAACACCGAUGGCGAAGGCAAUCCCCUGGGCCUGUACUGACGCUCAUGCACGAAAGCGUGGGGAGCAAACAGG